ACUGGGAGCACAAGGCUGGAAGCAGGCUGGGACACACUGGGAGCACAAGGCUGGAAGCAGGCUGGGACAUACUGGGAAAACCAGGCUGGGACACACUGGGAACACAAGGCUGGAAGCAGGCUGGGACAUACUGGUAACACAAGGCUGGGACACACUGGGAACACAAGGCUGGAAGCAGGCUGGGACAUACUGGUAACACAAGGCUGGGACAUACUGGUAACACAAGGCUGGGACACACUGGGAACACAAGGCUGGGACACACUGGGAGCACAAGGCUGGAAGCAGGCUGGGACACACUGGGAACACAAGGCUGGAAGCAGGCUGGGACACACUGGAAACACAGGGCUGUAAGCAGGCUCGGACAUACUGGUAACACAAGGCUGGAAGCAGGCUGGGUCACACUGGGAACACAAGGCUGGAAGCAGGCUGGGACGCACUGGUAACAAGGCUGAAAGGAGGCUGGGGCGCACUGGGAACACAAAGCUAGAAGCAGGCUGGCACACGCUAUAAAAUGCUGGAGAUCACUGGAGGCAGAGAAAAAUACUAGAAGAGAACACACGUAGUCUGGCUGCUAGCGUGUGGAACGCUGAGCAGUCCACAUGCCAGCCCUUUAAGACAGCAACCCCUCUGUGAUUGGCUGGAAGUCACUGGCUGAACACAGAGGUAAAGACCCAGUGCUGGAGCGUGGAAUGGGUAAGUGUGACAGUAGGGCUUGAAAAAUUAGGGUUAACCCCCUUUGUGAUGGAAGCGAGCAACAUGGAUGCCUCCUGUUUUAAGAAUGCUCUACUGUGCUUUUCAUUGGUUCAGUGGAGGGCUUUUUAAUUCCUUUUGAUCUACUGUGCCAUAACCGGUUAUACUUCUGUCACCAGUAAUGCGAUUUGCACCUCUUUGUGCCAGCCCUGCCAGCCUUUGUUCCCCAGUGCCCUACAGAUUACCUUCCAACUGGAGUACUUACCAAUAGGGUGGAAUCGUAGACGUCCGAAAAUAAUCAUGGAAAUAGCAUCUCCAAUAAGAGUACGAACUUUAAUCUCCUCCUCCACGACUGUCUAAAGAGGUCCACCAGAUGAAACCCCUUAUAGAGGCUAAGAAAGGGGCCACAUCCCGUAUAUAGUGUCUGGUGAAGGUUGGGAACCAACGACAAUCUGCUUUACCAACACCGUCAACUAUAGCAAAAGCAGCUUUUCCGAGGAAGCCGGCUCAGCUCUAGUAGAAUGGGCCUCAGAGGGUCCAAUUUUUUUUUUUUUUAAUGCUUAUCUGUUUUUAAACUGUCUACUUAUAUCUGUAAUGUUUUUAAAAAACUUUGUUUUACAAAUAAA